rnacentral:misc_RNA from 1 species
GAUGAAGAACGCAGCGAAAUGCGAUAAGUAAUGCGAAUUGCAGAAUUCAGUGAGUCAUCGAAUCUUUGAACGCACAUUGCCCCCUGUGGUAUUCCGCAGGGCAUGCCUGUUCGAGCGUCAUUUCAACCCUCAAGCUCUGCUUGGUGUUGGGCCCUGCCCGCUGCGGCCGGCCCUAAAGACAGUGGCGGUGCCGCCUGGCCCUGAGCGUAGUACAUCUCUCGCUCCAGUGCCCGGUGGUAGCCUGCCAGAACCCCAACUCUCGUGGUUGACCUCGGAUCAGGUAGGGAUACCCGCUGAACUUAAGCAUAUCAAUAAGCGGAGGA